UCCUGAGCGUUUCUUGGUUUCCUCUUGCGCAGUUCAACUUGUUGCGCGCGGGAGAGGCAAUGCAUAGGAAGGAACGGGAACUUGGCUCCAGAGUGUGUCAUCACCGAGGACCUCCAGGCCUAAGAAAGUUGAAGUGCGAAGCCUUGAAGCCAAUUGUGUGAAGCUCUACUUAUCCAAGAAUGCAUAUUAUAUAUUGUAAUAAUAGACAUAUCUGCUUUGUAAUAGAUUGGAAAAAUUGUAAUAUACUA